GAUGAAGAACGUAGCGAAAUGCGAUACGUAGUGUGAAUUGCAGAAUCCAGUGAAUCAUCGAAUCUUUGAACGCACAUUGCGCCCGCCGGCAUCCCGGCGGGCAUGCCUGUUCGAGCGUCAUUACAACCCUCAGGCCCCCGGGCCUGGCGUUGGGGAUCGGCGGAAGCCCCCUGCGGGCACAACGCCGUCCCCCAAAUACAGUGGCGGUCCCGCCGCAGCUUCCAUUGCGUAGUAGCUAACACCUCGCAACUGGAGAGCGGCGCGGCCACGCCGUAAAACACCCAACUUCUGAAUGUUGACCUCGAAUCAGGUAGGAAUACCCGCUGAACUUAAGCAUAUCAAUAAGCGGAGGA
rnacentral:misc_RNA from 1 species